UCAGUAAAUAUAGCGUCCAAGCAAAUUUAAAAAAGAUCCUUCUAUCCCUAACAACCUCCAGCAAACAAAGAACAAUUCUAUAUAUAUAGAAGCUCUCAUGCUAAAACUACUAAUAUGGGUUCUCCCUUCUAGCACACCUCUUUCUUUAAACUUAAGAAUUAACGGACCACAAAAGGAAGGAAAAUACACUCUACGACUCCUACCUCCUCCUGUAAGCUCAACACUGGUGUGCAAAAUUAAAAUUGAAAGUCUCAGAAGGAACUCGGCAAACACGAACCCCAACUGUUUACCAAAAACAUAGCCUUUAGCCAUUCUAGUAUUAAAGGUACUGCCUGCCCAGUGAAUUUUUUUAACGGCCGCGGUAUCCUAACCGUGCAAAGGUAGCGAAAUCAUUUGUCUACUAAAUAUAGACCAGUAUGAAGGGCCACAUGAGGGUUUAACUGUCUCCUGAGACAAAUCUAUAAAACUGAUCUCCUAGUUCAAAAGCUAGGAUUCAAACAUAAGACGAGAAGACCCUGUGAAGCUUAAAAAAUCCUAUUAAAACGACUAAUGGGUACUUUUAGUUGGGGCAACUUUGGAGAAAAAAUUAACCUCCAAAAAACUAAAGAAGACUGACAAGUCAACAAUGACCCAGUAAAACUGAAAAGCGGACCAAGUUACUCCAGGGAUAACAGCGCAAUCUUCUUCAAGAGCCCAUAUCUAAAAGAAGGUUUACGACCUCGAUGUUGGAUCAGGACACCCAAGCGGUGCAGCAGCUGCUAAAGGUUCGUUUGUUCAACGAUUAAAGU
rnacentral:rRNA from 1 species